AAGUCACUAAACAUGUGAAGAGAAAGUGGAUGUCAUUACUUGGGUCCAGAAGCUGUCUUCAAGAGUACAAGUAUCCUGUAAAAGGAUUGCAGCACAUGCAAAAACACAUCUUUCCAGAGACUUUCGAAUCAUAUAUCCAUAACUUCCAUAACUUCCAUACUAGUUGACUAGUUAUAAUGCAGUUACAACAAGUUAAAAAUAUGUUGUUGAUAUCUGUAAUGUUAAUUCCUGAUAGUCAAUUUUUGUCAUUAAAUGCUAAAACGGCUUGCCAUAAAAGAGCCCUUCUUCAAACGGUUAACUUCAACGUAUCAGACUUCAAUGUCACGAUUGUAGCAAGGUAACAAAGAGGGGCGGGGUCUCUAACCCUAUUACGGAUUGCCAAUAAGCCACGCUUAUUUAAAGGACAGGCGAAAGCGAAGGGCGGCUGGGGUCCUGUUAGCAAUUGCCCGGUGCGUGGCUUGUAGCUGUGUGGGACCAUUAGUCCCGGUAUAUUUCCCCCGGUAUAAGUAUUUUACUGUUUUUAGCAUGUGAUAGUUUGAAACUCAGGAUCAUUGUGGAUUUGUUUUGCCAAGAAUGUGGGUUUGAUGUUCGGGACCACCGUACAGUUGGCUGGUUGGUUUCGUUUCGUUAAGGUUGUUGGAUGAUGGUGACUAGUCGCUGUUCUCUUUUGGGUUUUCUUUUUUGUAAGAUUGACUGCUCCCUGUGGUGAAUGUAUGUUAAAUCCCUAGCCAGCUGGUGUUUUGUUUCUUUUCGAAUUAUUAAGUUUGUGUAAUUUGGUUUAAUGGUUGGCUAGGGGAUUUUGUUUUUAUUUUUCCUUUCUCUUUUUAAGUACAUUUGAUUUUCUGUGUCUUCCUGUACCCUUUGGGUAUACCCCUUGGGUAGCUUCCCACCAAUUUGUGGGGAAUCAGAGACGGGGAUUGAUAGAGCCCCAACAGGUUUUGUGUGCUUGAUUGUGUGAUGUAUUGAUAUUGAGGGUGCAUUAUUAAUGAUUUGUGGUGGGUUUAUGGGGCGGAGAUUGCUGUGCUCAUACAGUUUGCAGUGAAACUACUCUUCCCUGUAGGAAGCUCUAUUAUCUUUUGUCUGCUGAGUAUACCAUCUGAAGGAGGCUGCUCUGGGGGGCUGUGUCCGGUCAGGGUGAACGACCCAAAUUAUUUUUAUGUUCUGUUAAAUAAAGUUUAAGGUGUUUUCUAUUUUAUGCUUACUGUGGUGGAUUUUCUUUGUAUGCACCCGAGUUCCCUGGGCAUUCGGGUUGCUACACUUUACUCACUGAUGAUUGGCCCAAAUUCCAUUUUCGUGUUCUAUGCCGCUGUCUCUGGCCGUGUUUCAUUGGUUCUGUCCGUGGACUCCUACAGAAGGAAGAUCUUCUCCUAGUCCUCUGCAUUUUACCUUUUCAAUUAAGGAAGAAAUUCAGAAUCUGCCAUUUUCACUGUUUCCCUCAUCCAUGCUCUUCUUUAGAAUAACACAAGCCCAUGACACGCUGAAAAUAAUGAGCAUCGGAAUUUGCCCGGACGUGUUUUCUGCCAGAGAAGGACUACUAGGAGCCGGAGAAACAGGAGAAUCAAGGCUAUAUAGGAUGAUGAGGUGCCACAAAUUUUGACCCAGCCAACGCCAGUAUUAUUAUUGAGGGAACGGAAGUCCUGCAAGACCUGGAUGUAUCCAGAGCCUGUGCCCUGCUAGGGCUGGUAUAUGCUCUCAACCUCAGCUACCCAAAGGAACUAAAAAAUACUUUUGAGGUGUUUCAGAAAAUAAUUCUUGAGCUGGAUGGUCUGAAAGCUAGGCUGAAGGUAAUGUCUUUAAACAAUAAACUGUUGUAUUCCUGAAA